rnacentral:rRNA from 1 species
UUAGAGUUUGGAUCCUGGCUCAGGACGAACGCUGGCGGCGUGCUUAACACAUGCAAGUCGAACGAUGAAGCCCUUCGGGGUGGAUUAGUGGCGAACGGGUGAGUAACACGUGGGCAAUCUGCCCUUCACUCUGGGACAAGCCCUGGAAACGGGGUCUAAUACCGGAUAAUACUUUCUCUCUCCUGGGGGAAGGUUGAAAGCUCCGGCGGUGAAGGAUGAGCCCGCGGCCUAUCAGCUAGUUGGUGGGGUAAUGGCCUACCAAGGCGACGACGGGUAGCCGGCCUGAGAGGGCGACCGGCCACACUGGGACUGAGACACGGCCCAGACUCCUACGGGAGGCAGCAGUGGGGAAUAUUGCACAAUGGGCGAAAGCCUGAUGCAGCGACGCCGCGUGAGGGAUGACGGCCUUCGGGUUGUAAACCUCUUUCAGCAGGGAAGAAGCGAAAG